rnacentral:rRNA from 1 species
CCUACGGGGGGCAGCAGUGGGGAAUAUUGGACAAUGGGGGGAACCCUGAUCCAGCCAUGCCGCGUGUGUGAAGAAGGCCCUCGGGUUGUAAAGCACUUUCAGUGAGGAAGAACGCCUGGUGGUUAAUACCCAUCAGGAAAGACAUCACUCACAGAAGAAGCACCGGCUAACUCCGUGCCAGCAGCCGCGGUAAUACGGAGGGUGCGAGCGUUAAUCGGAAUUACUGGGCGUAAAGCGCGCGUAGGUGGCUUGAUAAGCCGGUUGUGAAAGCCCCGGGCUCAACCUGGGAACGGCAUCCGGAACUGUCAAGCUAGAGCGCAGGAGAGGAAGGUAGAAUUCCCGGUGUAGCGGUGAAAUGCGUAGAGAUCGGGAGGAAUACCAGUGGCGAAGGCGGCCUUCUGGACUGACACUGACACUGAGGUGCGAAAGCGUGGGUAGCAAACAGGAUUAGAUCCCCGGUAGUC